UNCCAUGUGUAGCGGUGAAAUGCGUAGAUAUAUGGAGGAACACCAGUGGCGAAAGCGGCUCUCUGGUCUGUCACUGACGCCGAGGCUCGAAAGCGUGGGUAGCGAACAGGAUUAGAUACCCUGGUAGUNCACGCCGUAAACGAUGAGUGCUAGGUGUUAGGCCCUUUCCGGGGCUUAGUGCCGGAGCUAACGCAAUAAGCACUCCGCCUGGGGAGUACGACCGCAAGGUUGAAACUCAAAGGAAUUGACGGGGGCCCGCACAAGCGGUGGAGCAUGUGGUUUAAUUCGAAGCAACGCGAAGAACCUUACCAGGUCUUGACAUCCCGAUGCUAUUCUUAGAGAUAGGAAGUUACUUCGGUACAUCGGAGACAGGUGGUGCAUGGUUGUCGUCAGCUCGUGUCGUGAGAUGUUGGGUUAAGUCCCGCAACGAGCGCAACCCUUAUUGUUAGUUGCCAUCAUUAAGUUGGGCACUCUAGCAAGACUGCCGGUAAUAAACCGGAGGAAGGUGGGGAUGACGUCAAAUCAUCAUGCCCCUUAUGACCUGGGCUACACACGUGCUACAAUGGUCGGUACAACGAGUUGCGAGCCGGUGACGGCAAGCUAAUCUCUGAAAGCCGAUCUCAGUUCGGAUUGGAGGCUGCAACUCGCCUCCAUGAAGUCGGAAUCGCUAGUAAUCGCGGAUCAGCACGCCGCGGUGAAUACGUUCCCGGGCCUUGUACACACCGCCCGUCACACCACGAGAGUUUGUAACACCCGAAGUCGGU
rnacentral:rRNA from 1 species